rnacentral:misc_RNA from 1 species
CUUUCACAUUGUCUGUGACACAGUGGCGGACAAAGUUUAGGAAGGCCAUGAAUAAAGCGGACAAUGAUGCCAAUACAAGAGCAAUAGAUUCUCUAAUCAAUUAUGAGACUGUCAAAUAUUUCAACAACGAAGCUUUUGAAGCUGACAAAUAUGACGAGUUCUUAAAGAGGUAUGAAGGUGCAGCGUUAAAAACACAACGAAGUCUUGCAUUUCUUAAUUUUGGCCAAAAUGUGAUAUUUAGCUCAGCUUUAUCAAUAGCUAUGGUUUUAUGUUCCCAUGGGAUCAUGAAUGGCCAAAUGACAGUUGGUGAUUUGGUUAUGGUGAAUGGGCUACUCUUCCAGCUAUCCCUCCCCCUCAAUUUCCUCGGCAGUGUUUAUCGUGAGACCAUACAGAGUCUUGUUGACAUGAAGUCAAUGUUUCAAUUACUUGAGGAGAGAGCUGAUAUUAGAGAUAAAGAUGUUGCAAAGCCUCUUAAGUUAAAUCGGGGUAGCAUACAGUUUGAGAACGUGCACUUCAGUUACUUGGUGGAAAGAAAGAUUCUUGAUGGCAUAUCUUUUGUUGUACCAGCUGGAAAAAGUGUGGCUAUUGUUGGGACAAGUGGCAG